rnacentral:rRNA from 1 species
AUUGAACGCUGGCGGCAGGCUUAACACAUGCAAGUCGAGCGAGCGGCGGACGGGUGAGUAAUGUCUGGGAAACUGCCUGAUGGAGGGGGAUAACUACUGGAAACGGUAGCUAAUACCGCAUACCAUCAGAUGAACCCAUAUGGGAGUAGCUAGUAGGUGAGGUAACGGCUUACCUAGGCGACGAUCCCUAGCUGGUCUGAGAGGAUGAUCAGCCACACUGGGACUGAGACACGGCCCAGACUCCUCCGGGAGGCAGCAGUGGGGAAUAUUGCACAAUGGGCGCAAGCCUGAUGCAGCCAUGCCGCGUGUAUGAAGAAGGCCUUCGGGUUGUAAAGUACUUUCAGUCGGGAGGCGUUACCGACAGAAGAAGCACCGGCUAACUCCGUGCCAGCAGCCGCGGUAAUAC